GUGUUCACUUCAGCAGCAUAUACACUAAAAUUGGAAUGAUACAGAGAUUAGCAUGGCCCUUGCACAAGGAUGGCAAGCAAAUUCUUGAAGUGUUCCAUAUUUUU
ensembl:snRNA U6 U6 spliceosomal RNA